UACGUAGGGUGCGAGCGUUAAUCGGAAUUACUGGGCGUAAAGCGUGCGCAGGCGGUUCGCUAAGUCCGAUGUGAAAUCCCCGGGCUUAACCUGGGAACUGCAUUGGUGACUGGCGGGCUAGAGUAUGGCAGAGGGGGGUAGAAUUCCACGUGUAGCAGUGAAAUGCGUAGAGAUGUGGAGGAAUACCGAUGGCGAAGGCAGCCCCCUGGGCCAAUACUGACGCUCAUGCACGAAAGCGUGGGGAGCAAACAGG
rnacentral:rRNA from 1 species